UGGAGUUCGAGCUCCAGGAUGGGGAGGACUGUGUUCAAACAGUGACAUCUUGCGGGGCUUCGAGAGCGACUUUGUUUAGUAUCCUUGAAAAUCAGUUUGCUCUCCGAUUGCUAGAUUGGGGAAAACCACUUUUGUGAUAAAGUACGGUGGAGAUGAAGAAGAAAAGAGAAAGUUGUAGAUGGAGAUUAGUCUAAUGGGAAGAUAUUAGAGCAACAAAGGAUAGCCGCGCCAAUGUGUUUUAUUCCACACCAAAUUUAUAUAAUGAUGCAAAGCAUGCUCUG